AUACGCUCAACAGGCAGAAAUGAUGCUGGAUAUGACAUGUCUGCAGACGCUACGAACCGGAGCGAGGACUAAUCUCGCCUCAUAAUGAGGCGGUGACCUCUUAUUUGCUCGGAGCAAUAUCUGGAAGUCCAGAUUUACACGAUGUUGAUAAAGACGACAUUGUGUCCACCUGUAAGACAUAUUACGAGACGGUACGCAGGAGCUUUAGAUAUACCCAGCCAGAAAACUCAUUGCGGGCGGAAGCUGCGAAGAGUUCAGCUCGGGAGUCGAGCGAGAAGAAAGAGGGUACCCAGCUAACACACGACCAAAUGGCAACGUUGCCUAUAAGUUGCCAUUUGGUCAUGGCGACAUUACUUUCUGGCAACGUUGUGGCAACAUUGCCACAACGUUGCCUGCAGGAAGUUUCCAUUAAGUAAACAAAUUACGUUGCCACGACGUAGUGGUUUGGUAAUUUUGAUAACGUUGCCUCUUGGUAGUGUAAGUGACAUUGCCACAACGUUGCCUACAGGAAGUUGCCAUUAAGUAAACAAAUUACGUUGCCGCAACGUAGUGGUUUGGUAAUUUUGAUAACGUUGCCUCUUGGUAGUGUAAGUGACGUUGCCACAACGUUGCCUACAGGAAGUUGCCAAUUAAGUAAAGAAAUUACGUUGCCACAACGUAGUGGCUUGGUAAUUUUGCUAACUUUGCCACUUGGUAACGCAAGUAAUGUUGUGGCGACGUAGUGUUGUGGUCAUUUACUUACCGUGAGACAGAAUUACACCAUACGAAUAUUAAAGGUUGUUUCCAUGUCCAGCACAAAGAUUAGGUUUGAAUGCUAUGCUGGAUAUGUAUGACAAUUUCUAGUUUAGAAUUUGUAUUUCCAUUUUAUAGUGACAAUAAAGGGCUCACCUUCAGACAGCAAAGCAAAACCCAUAGGCUAACAUGCUAUAAAAUAACAGAUUUUUUUCUAAAUCAAACUAUCUUCGAGCCGGAAAAAUUAACCACUGGUUUGUAUUGUUUAUUCACUACCUAGGGAUGACUCAAUUCCCACAGAAACUAUUUGUGCUCAACUAGGAUUAAUCCAGAACUACAUAACAAUUCUCAGUUCCACAAACUCUGACCCAGUUGAAAAAAUAGCAAUGACAUAUAUUCAGAUACUGAAUUGAUGAAGCAUUUAUUUUAAAUGCAUAUACAGGGACCACAUAAAUAAAUCACAACGACAAUUAUUUCUAUUAAAACAACAUUUGAAGUCAAAUUCAUGCGUUUCACAGAUUGAAGUGAUGUACUAACAAACCACAUUGCAGGGUAGGCAUUAGUCAACCAGUACAGAGCAUGAAGGCCUUGGAGCGGCUGAGGUGGAGAGUAGCUAAAACAGUGACUGCUAAUCAGAAUCCAAUUCUAAUGUUAAUGCUGUCUAGUGCAAUUUUGACCAAGAUCUCCCUCUUGUUAUCCAAUUACUGGCCACAAUAACAGUCUUUUCUCCCAAAAACUCCACAAUACUCAUUUUGUAAUCAAACACAGAGAAAUUACAGUAAACAAUAUUGUGUCUGUAUGAAAAAUUGCAAUGAUAAUACUCUUAUGAGAGCACAAAUGACAACAUACUGCAAUGUCAUGAAGAAUGGCCAUUAAGAUUAUUUUUCCCUAACAGGAAUCUUGAUUGUACUUUGUUUCAGUCACCUCAAAACAGUCAUUGAUCUUGAAUUUUAGUACUCCGACUAAUGUACUAAUGUUAUAUAGCCAUGGGUAUAUCAUUUACUAAUCACACUCUCACGCAGGACAUUUUGCCCAAUUAACAGAACUAUAUAAGAUGCUAUUUCAAAAUACUAUCGGAAACAACAAACAAAGACUGUGGUCGGCAUCUCCGAUUUAAAACAGUGAUUCACAAGGCAUAUAAGGGACAGGGAAACACUAGACCCCAAAGGUAACUGCCCCCCAGUUUUCUAUCAAGCUGAUGUUGUCCUUAAGCCGCAGAGGGGCUGGUUCUGCUGUUGCAGCUGAGGGUUGUCAAGAUGUCCUUUUACCUCAAGUCGUCUUAAAAAUGGUGGAUCCCAGCAUCUUCAGUUCGGUUCCUGGAAAAGGAAAAAAAAAGGUAAGAAUGUCUUACUUUCUGUUCACAUGCAUACAUUAUGCUGAGAAACAGUUGAAUAAAAUAUCCAGCGAAAUGAAAAGUGUGCGAGGGCAGCUAUAAAAGAACAAUUGUGUCUAACUAGCUGGGUUUGACAAAUUGGUCUUGUUUUUAUGCCUGUAGCUCACAGAUAAGUGUGACCAAGUAAUCUCCAUGCUUGGUCACAACUGAAUGGUUCAAAAUAGAAUAAUAAACAGACUAAAUUAACAUACAAAUUAAUAUAUAGUAAUAAAUAUAUAAGACAUUUCUUAAUAAAUACACUUGUUACCAAAAGCCUUCAACUUUAAUAAUUUAUAUGAUCACCACUUUUAAAUUAAUGUUACUACCCCUUUAAGACGCCUUCCUAGCCACGAGCUAGUAUGAGUUAGACGCGAGCAAGUUCACCAAAGAUCCUUGAUUAACCCUCUCUGAGUUCACCUAACGGAAAAAACGAAAAGACGCAAAAUCAUUCAUCAUGGGACAACAUACAGCACCGAACUAUAUAGGAAUUAGAACACGUCUUUUCUAUCACCAAACCGAGUCUGUUCUAUCACAUCUAAACGACAAUUUCGUGGUGCUUUCAAUAGUAUGACUGUUUUGGUGAGUUUCACUCUAUUUCCUAAAGUGUAGGCUAUAUCCAUCACCAUCCACCAUCCGCAUCUCCAGUCCACAGCUCCGUUAUUCCCGCGACUUGGUAGCCUACCGUCGGCGCCGGCAUCCUGACACAUCUAGGCUACAAGUGCAAGGGCGAAGGAAUGACCCAGCAGCAGCAAAAAAGUCUAGCGUAACCAGCUAUCAGCAUAUCCUAUUUUAGUUUUGACUGAAUGUAAAAUUAAUAUAAAUGCACUCACCUGUUCUCUUUUAUUUGUUCUUCACAGGGUCGGAUGGAACAGGAGGUGGAAGACCAUCCGCAAAAUUGAAUUUCCACAUUAUUUUAAAUAAAAUAUAAUCCACGCUCUGUUGCUGUUGUGGGUUAAGCUGAGUUUGUUUAAUCUCUGCAUCUCUUCUUUGUCCCUGAUGGUGGCCAGAUCAGUGUACUUCUCUCUGCAGUUGGUCUGGGCUUCGGUCCAUGUCUUGGGGUCAAUGAUAUAGUGGUACUCACGAGAGGCCAACACUAAAGCUCCAAAGUGGGAAAGAAAGGGAUCUUUAGAACAAAAGCUGUAGUCGUUUUGAUUGAUGAAGUUUAUCGACCUAAUGAGUUAGAUGACCUUGAGUACCUAAUCAGUGCAUCUAGGCUUUGUAGUGAUUGUUGUGUAUUGGAUCUCUAUACUCCAUAACCUUAAUUCUGGCCCUGCCGGGCCACCGUUGUGA